GGUUAAGUGACUAAGCGUAUACGGUGGAUGCCUUGGCAGUCAGAGGCGAUGAAGGACGUACUAACUUGCGAUAAGCCCGGAUGAGGGAGUAAGACCCACAUGAGUCCGGGAUUUCCGAAUGGGGAAACCCACCUGCAGCAGCAGGUAUCUUUACCUGAAUCCAUAGGGUAAAGAGGCGAACCGGGGGAACUGAAACAUCUAAGUACCCCGAG
rnacentral:ncRNA from 1 species